rnacentral:rRNA from 1 species
GUGGGGAAUAUUGCGCAAUGGACGAAAGUCUGACGCAGCGACGCCGCGUGUGGGAUGAAGCCUUUCGGGGUGUAAACCACUGUUGCCCGGGACGAAAAGCCCUUUCGAGGGAAUUGACGGUACCGGGUGAGGAAGCACCGGCUAACUCUGUGCCAGCAGCCGCGGUAAUACAGAGGGUGCGAGCGUUGUCCGGAAUCACUGGGCGUAAAGGGCGCGUAGGUGGCUUGGUAAGCGUGUGGUGAAAGUCCGGGGCUCAACCCCGGAUCUGCCGUGCGAACUGCUGAGCUCGAGCACUGUAGAGGCAGGUGGAAUUCCGGGUGUAGCGGUGGAAUGCGUAGAUAUCCGGAAGAACACCGGUGGCGAAGGCGGCCUGCUGGGCAGUUGCUGACACUGAGGCGCGACAGCGUGGGGAGCAAACAGGAUUAGAAACCCUAGUAGUCC